rnacentral:lncRNA from 1 species
AUCUCCAGCUCUAAACUCUCUUUUAAAGAUCUUCUUGUCAUGAAAAGCUUUGGUUUUCUCCUUGUAGAUCAUUGAGUUCUCAAAAGCAUCCAGUCUAAUCUCAUCAAGCUCAUUGAGUUGGAGAAGUCUCUUCUCCUUGGCACUCUUGAUGUCAAAAUUCAGCAACUUAACAGCCCACAAUGCCUUGUACUCAAGCUCAACUGGUAGAUAACAAGCUUUUCCAUACACAAGGUUGAAAGGUGUGGUUCCCAAAGGAGUUUUGUAAGCCGUCCUAUAAGCCCAAAGCGCAUCAUCAA